rnacentral:rRNA from 1 species
GGGGGGGGGGGGGGGGGGGGGGGGGGCGGGGGGGGCGAGGGGGGGGGGGGCGUGGGGGGGGGGUGAGUGGCGGAGGGGGGAGUAGGAGGUGGGCAACCGGCGGGCGGCUGUGGGGUAAGGCGAGGAAAUGGGGGGCAAUAACGGAUGGGACCGCGGGCCGCAUGGUCGGGGGGUGGGAGGGGGUUGCGGCUGGGGAUGGGCCCGCGGCCUAGCAGCUUGUUGGUGGGGUAGGGGCCGACCACGGCGACGACGGGGAGCCGGCCUGAGAGGUUGACCGGCCACACUGGGACUGAGACACGGCCAAGACUCCUACGGGCGGCAGCAGUCGGGAAUAUUGCCCAAUGCUCGCAAGCCUGGCGCAGCGACGCCGGGUGGGGGAUGCCGGCCUUCGGGUUGUAAACCUCUUUCAGCAGGGACGAAGCGCAAGUGACGGUACCUGCAGAAGAAGCACCGGCCAACUACGUG